GCUCACUUUGUCAGCUCAAAUACUAAAAUUUGGAACAAUACGGAGAAUAUUAGCAUGGACCAAGUACAAGGAUGACAUGCAAAGGAUGGCAGAUCUGGGAAGCAUUC